GACGAACGCUGGCGGCGUGCUUAACACAUCCAAGUCUAAUGGAAAGUCCCUCCUUUUGGGGUUUGCUCGAGUGCCGAACGGGUGCGAAAACCGUAAUUAACCUUCCCUUGCUUUUGGAAUAACUCCAGCAAACGGGUGCGAAUACCGGUUAGCAGCCCCUCAUCGUUUGUGGGGUUGGAAAAUUUCCGGCGCUUGGGGAGGGACUCGCGGAUCAUCAGUUGGUUGGUGGGGUAGUGGCUUACCAAGGCAUGGAUGGGUAGCCGGCCUGAGCGAGUAACCGGCCACAUUGGGACUGAGAUACGGCCCAGACUCCUACGGGAGGCAGCAGUGGGGAAUAUUGCACAAUGGGCGGAAGCCAGAUGCAGAAACGCCGCGUGCGGGAUGACGGCCUUCGCGUUGUAAACCGCUUUCGCCUGUGCCGAAGCGUAAGUGACGGUAAGGGGUACAGAAGCACCGGCAAACUACGUGC
rnacentral:rRNA from 1 species